CACGUAGGGGGCAAGCGUUGUCCGGAAUUAUUGGGCGUAAAGAGCUCGUAGGCGGCUCGGUAAGUCAGGUGUCAAAUCCUCAGGCUCAACCUGGGGCUCCACCUGAUACUGCUGUGGCUAGAGUCCGGUAGGGGAGCGUGGAAUUCCUGGUGUAGCGGUGAAAUGCGCAGAUAUCAGGAGGAACACCAGCGGCGAAGGCGGCGCUCUGGGCCGGAACUGACGCUGAGGAGCGAAAGCGUGGGUAGCAAACGGG
rnacentral:rRNA from 1 species